rnacentral:lncRNA from 1 species
CCUUAUAUUAAUAAACAUGAUAAAUCAAGUAUGUUAUUACAACCAUCUCAUGAUUGAUCUUUGGGCAUACUCUAACAUCUUACUUGAUACCACUUCAGCGUAAAGCCUACUGUACAGCCCAAUUUUGCCCCAAUCCCAUUACCCAAAAUUUGACCCGGGCCCAUACCACCUAAACCCAAAUCACCUAAACCCAAAACCCAAUUACAAAGCCCAUAAUUUAUAGCCCAACAGGCUAGAAACCAAUUUGUCAAACUAGGGUUUCAGCUUUUCUGAAACCUUAGUACUGCCGCCGUCCCUAGCCUACCUUAGCGCCGCUGCUGCCGCUUCAUCAGUACAAGUGGCCACCGACUCUGUCGCCAACCACUCCCAUUAAUCACCCUGCAACAAGGAAGCAAACAUGCAACAGCCAAAGAAAAGAAAGGAAAAAGAAAACAAAAAAAUAGAAAUUAAGAUCGACUAUAAAAAGCCAAGCAUGUAACUCUCUUUUUUUGGCUCCUCCCCUGGCAACUUUUGUAACAAACAAAAACAGAUUCAAUAGAAAGAAAAUAAAAAAGGCAGAUUCAAGGUGUUGUUUUUUUUCCUUUUUGUUCUGAAAGAUUUUUCUAUUUUAUUCUCUUUUCUUUUCGUUCGCAUAUAUAUAAAUAAAGGCAGUAAAUAAAAGAAAAGGAGGUACCUUUCUCCCUUACGCCCCGCCAGAUGACGAGAAGACAAACGGUUUUGUCCCGUUUUUGAGUCUUUGGCUUCAUUUUCGUGGGUUUCGGCCCUGGAUCUGAGGUCUAAGAGUAAUCAGCCUCAAAAAGAGACCAAAAAGGUCUGAUUUAGGGUAUCUGACCACCACACACGGUGGCGCUACGGCAGAAACCCGCCGGAAACCAUGGCCGAAUCUUGGCUGAAAUUUGGGGAGAAGAAAGGGAGAGGGAGAAGUUUCAGAUUUUUUUCAAAAAAGAAGUGGAUGAAUGAUUUUUUCUAGAAAAAUUGGGUUUAAAUACCCCUAAGGAAACAGCACCGUUUGAAGAAGGGAAAACCUGCGCACUCUUGCCCUAAUGGGUAAUUUGUGCCUUUGGUCCCUCUAAUCCUGCGGUGCAUUCAAUGCUUCCUUUUGUUUCAUUUUAAUUUUGGCCACGAAUUUCGCAUCUGUUUCAAUUUGGUUCGUGAACCCUGUGCAUGCGCUGCACUGUAACGGCACCGUUUAACCAACGCGGGGAAAUUUCCCUUUUGAUCCCUUCUCUUUUGUGCGCC